rnacentral:lncRNA from 1 species
GUCAUGUUUAUUAUGGAGGACAGUGGUAGAGAUGAAGGAGUCAUGUUUAUUAUGGAGGACAGUGGGAGAGAUGAAGGAGUCAUGUUUAUUAUGGAGGACAGUGUUAGAGAUGAAGGAGUCAUGUUUAUUAUGGAGGACAGUGGUAGAGAUGGAGUCAUGUUUAUUAUGGGGGACAUGGUGGUAGAGAGGUACAGAUGAAGGAGUCAAGUUUAUUAUGGAGGACAGUGUUAGAGAGGUAGAGAUGAUGGAGUCAUGUUUAUUAUGGAGGACAGUGGUAGAGAUGAAGGAGCGAUGUUUAUUAUGGAGGACAGUGGUAGAGAUGAAGGAGUCAUGUUUAUUAUGGAGGACAGUGGGAGAGAUGAAGGAGUCGUGUUUAUUAUGGAGGACAUGGUGGUAGAGAGGUAGAGAGAUGAAGGAGUCAUGUUUAUUAUGGAUGACAUAGUGGUAGAGAUGAAGGAGUCAUGUUUAUUAUGGAGGACAGUGGUAGAGAUGAAGGAGUCAUGUUUAUUAUGGAGGACAGUGGUAGAGAUGAAGGAGUCAUGUUUAUUAUGGAGGACAGUGGGAGAGAUGAAGGAGUCAUGUUUAUUAUGGAGGACAGUGGUAGAGAUGAAGGAGUCAUGUUUAUUAUGGAGGACAGUGGUAGAGAUGAAGGAGUCAUGUUUAUUAUGGAGGACAGUGGUAGAGAUGAAGGAGUCAUGUUUAUUAUGGAGGACAGUGGUAAAGAUGAAGGAGUCAUGUUUAUUAUGGAGGACAGUGGGAGAGAUGAAGGAGUCAUGUUUAUUAUGGAGGACAUGGUGGUAGAGAGGUAGAGAGAUGAAGGAGUCAUGUUUAUUAUGGAUGACAUAGUGGUAGAGAUGAAGGAGUCAUGUUUAUUAUGGAGGACAGUGGUAGAGAUGAAGGAGUCAUGUUUAUUAUGGAUUACAUGGGGGUAGAGAGGUAGAGAGAUGAAGGAGUCAUGUUUAUUAUGGAGGACAGAGGUAGAGCUGAAGGAGUCAUGUUUAUUAUGGAGGACAGUGGUAGAGAUGAAGGAGUCAUGUUUAUUAUGGAGGACAGUGGUAGAGAUGAAGGAGUCAUGUUUAUUAUGGAGGACAGUGGUAGAGAUGAAGGAGUCAUGUUUAUUAUGGAGGACAGUGGGAGAGAUGAAGGAGUCAUGUUUAUUAUGGAGGACAGUGGUAGAGAUGAAAGAGUCAUGUUUAUUAUGGAGGACAGUGGUAGAGAUGAAGGAGUCAUGUUUAUUAUGGAGGACAGUGGGAGAGAUGAAGGAGUCAUGUUUAUUAUGGAGGACAUGGUGGUAGAGAGGAAGAGAGAUGAAGGAGUCAUGUUUAUUAUGGAUGACAGUGGUAAAGAUGAAGAAGUCAUGUUUUUUAUGGAGGACAGUGGUAGAGAUGGAGUCAUGUGUACUAUGGAGGACAGUGGUAGAGAUGAAGGAGUCAUGUUUAUUAUGGAGGACAGUGGUAGAGAUGAAGGAGUCAUGUUUAUUAUGGAUGACAGUGGUAGAGAUGAAGGAGUCAUGUUUAUUAUGGAGGACAGUGGUAGAGAGGUAGAGAGAUGAAGGAGUCAUGUUUAUUAUGGAGGACAGAGGUAGAGAUGAAGGAGUCAUGUUUAUUAGGGAGGACAGUG